GAUGAACGCUGGCGGCGUGCCUAAUACAUGCAAGUCGAGCGAACGACGAGGAGCUUGCUCCUCUGAUUUAGCGGCGGACGGGUGAGUAACACGUGGGUAACCUGCCUGUAAGACGGGGAUAACUCCGGGAAACCGGAGCUAAUACCGGAUGAUAACGAGAAGCGCCUGCUUCUUUUUUGAAAGUCGGUUUCGGCUGACGCUUACAGAUGGGCCCGCGGCGCAUUAGCUAGUUGGUGAGGUAACGGCUCGCCAAGGCGACGAUGCGUAGCCGACCUGAGAGGGUGAUCGGCCACACUGGGACUGAGACACGGCCCAGACUCCUACGGGAGGCAGCAGUAGGGAAUCUUCGGCAAUGGACGAAAGUCUGACCGAGCAACGCCGCGUGAGCGAUGAAGGCCUUCGGGUCGUAAAGCUCUGUUGUCAGAGAAGAACAAGUACCGGAGUAACUGCCGGUACCUUGACGGUACUUGACCAGAAAGCCACGGCUAACUACGUGCCAGCAGCCGCAGUAA
rnacentral:rRNA from 1 species